UGGGUAACCUGCCUCAAAGAGGGGAAUAGCCUCCCGAAAGGGAGAUUAAUACCGCGUAAUAUGUUUAGGUCGCAUGACUUUAACAUCAAAGGAUUUCUUUUAGAAAUUCCACUUUGAGAUGGACCCGCGGCGCAUUAGCUAGUUGGUGAGGUAACGGCUCACCAAGGCAACGAUGCGUA
rnacentral:rRNA from 1 species